GCCGCCAUGGUGAAAUUGGUAGACACGCUGCUCUUAGGAAGCUGUGCUCAAGCAUCUCGGUUCGAAUCCGAGUGGCGGCA
rnacentral:tRNA from 1 species